rnacentral:rRNA from 1 species
GUCUACGGCCAUACCAUCCUGAAUGCGCCCGAUCUCGUCUGAUCUCAGAAGCUAAGCAGGGUCGGGCCUGGUUAGUACUUGGAUGGGAGAAUUAGUACAUUUUGUAAAUGGAAACA